UAAGGUCUACUAUAGUAUACACACUCUAGUACGCACCAAAUCUCGAAAUCUAGUCACCAUAUGCUAACAUCAACGACUGCAUGUGCGCUCAUGGAAAUUUCUCCAAACACCACCACCGUCUUCUUCAGUUACUACAAACAUGCGCAACCCUCCCAUCUCUCAGUACAACAAAAGUCCUCCACGCGCUAACCAUCACAACGGGCCCAGUCCCCAACCAACCUAUUUUUCCAUACAACAGUAUCGUUUCUUGUUAUGUUUCGCUUGGCGAACUAUUCGUUGCACGUCAGUUGUUUGAGAAAAUGCCCCAUAAAAAUGUAGUCUCAUAUAAUGCGAUAAUUAGUGCUUAUAGUAGAUGUGGGGAUGUAGAGGAAGCUUGGAGUUUGUUUUCUCAGAUGAGGAGUUUGGGAUUCAGGCCGACUCAGUUCACGUUCGGUGGGUUAGUAUCGUGUGGGGCACUGGAUCUUCAUCGAGGUGUUCAGCUGCAGGCGUUGGUUUUAAAGAAUGGUCUGUUUCAUGCUGACGCUUUUGUGGGAACUGCUUUGUUGGGUUUGUUUGGGAGGCACGGUCGUAUGGAAGACGCGUUUCUUUCAUUUGAAGAUAUGCCUUGUAAGAGCUUGGUGACAUGGAAUUCAAUGUUGUCUUUGUUUGGACUUCAUGGGCUUGUUGAAGAUUGUAUUUUUUUGUUCCGUGAGCUCUUGAUGGUGGAGAUUGCUCUGUCUGAAAGUUCUUUUGUUAGAGUUUUGUCUGGAAUUUCGUGUGAACAAGAUUUGGCAUAUGGGGCACAAAUACAUGGUUUACUGACUAAAAAUGGGUUUGAUAGUGAAGUUUCUGUUGUUAAUUCUCUUAUCAAUAUGUAUGUGAAAUGUGCCGGCAUAUGCUCAGCAGAGAAAGUCUUUGACACUAUUCCCGUUCGGGAUGUUUCAUUGUGGAAUACAAUUAUUUCGACGGUGGCAAAUAGUGAGAUACCUGGAAAAGCAUUGGAACUCUUUUUGAAAAUGUGCAAGAGUGGAGUGGCGCCUAGCCAGCCCGCAUUCGUAAGUGUUAUUAACUGUUGUACGACUUUGGAGAUUCCAAUUUAUGGAGAAUUCAUCCAUGCUAAAACAAUCAGGAGUGCUUUUGAAUCUGAUGUUUAUGUGGGUAGUGCAUUGGUUGACUUUUAUGCUAAAUGCGAUAAAUUGGUAGAUGCCCAUCGCUGUUUCGACGAGAUAUAUGAGAAGAAUGUGGUUUCUUGGAAUUCUCUGAUUUUGGGUUACUCAAACAAAUGCUCUUCCACUUGUAUAUUUUUACUUCAAGAUAUGCUGCGAUUGGAUUUACGGCCUAAUGAGUUCUCAUUUUCGGCUGUUCUUAGGUCAUCGCUAGCAUUGGAAGUCCGGCAGCUUCAUUGUUUAAUUAUAAGAAUGGGCUACCUGAGUAAUGAGUAUGUAUCAAGCUAUCUUGUUACCUCAUAUGCCAAAAAUGGUCUCAUAUCUGAUGCCCUGGUCUUCGUCACGGCUUCUUACAAUCCACUCCCUGUUGUCCCCUCUAACAUCAUUGCUGGAAUUUAUAACAGAACUGGUCAAUACAGUGAAACACUAAAGUUGCUUUCUCUACUUGAAGAACCUGACCUUGUAUCUUGGAACAUUGUGAUUGCAGCUUGUGCUCGCAACAAUGAUUACAAAGAGGUUUUUGAGCUUUUCAAACACAUGCAUAUGUUUCACAUCCAUCCAGAUAAUUACACGUAUGUUAGCCUUCUGAGUGUGUGCGCUAAACUUUGCAACCUUGCUUUGGGAAGUUCUGUCCAUGGUCUAAUGAUAAAGACAGAUUUCAAUCGCUGUGACACAUUUGUUUGCAAUGUGUUAAUCAAUAUGUAUGGGAAAUGUGGGAGCGUAGAAAGUUCAGUGAAAAUCUUUGACAAAAUGACAAAUAGAAAUCUCAUCACGUGGACAACUCUAAUAUCUGCCUUUGGACUGAAUGGUUUUGCUCAGGAGGCAUUAGGAAGGUUCAGAGAAAUGGAGUGGCUGGGGUUUAAGCCUGAUAGGUUAGCUCUUAUUUCAGUGCUUACUGCUUGCAGACAUGGUGGCUUAGUGAGAGAAGGGAUGGAGUUGUUUGGAAGAAUAAGGAGUUAUGGAGUUGAACCGGAAAUGGAUCAUUACCAUUGUGUGGUGGACUUGCUGGCUAAGUAUGGAUAUGUUAGUGAAGUAGAGAAAAUGAUUGCCAGCAUGCCUUUCCUACCUGAUGCCAUUAUAUGGCGUAGUUUCCUAGAAGGCUAUAAGAGACGAGGAAAUGCAAUGGAUCAAGGCAUGAGACAUCUAAAUUCGGAUGAGCCCAGCAAAUACAUUUCUAUGGGAGAUUAGGCAAUGUCACUGUUUAUCUGUGCAUGUCCCAUAUGAUUCCCACCUCUGCUGUUAAGCCUAAGGUCCACAAUUCACUACAUACCGUUCAACGUGGAAUAUUCCUUGGAGGAUUGAUGAUUUUUGGUAUGUAAAGGCCAGACUGAGCUCAACAAACAAGGAUGGAAGCCAGAGUGGGGAAGGACUCAACAAAUGUUUCCUUUGCCUCCUUGCACCCUUCUGUUAUAUAUACACUUUGAUGAAAGAGAUGCUCUACAGGGUUGUCCUCAACGAGGGGUAGUGAAGCCACAAGGCCAUUUUAUUCUUUCAUGAACAUUUGAGGGUUCUGGUUGUGCUGAGCAGCAAGCUUUUGUUCCGAUGGGAUCUCCCUGGCCGUCAACCGCUCUGCGGGGAACACGGCAUUGUCGUACUUGUACAGCAGAGAUCUUCUGGAUGACCGCUAGUUAUGGCUCUGCAUCACACCACCUGUGAGUGAGCGAUUUGGCGGUGGGUUGAUCGGUAUGAAGUGUGCAAAGAGAUUCGCAGUUUGGAUCUCUCUUAUUUGCCUAAAAAUUACUGUAUGAUAGGUAAGAAAGCUGAGGAAAGCAAAGGAAAAGGGUAAAAAAGUCACCUUGAUUAAUUAAGAUUUUAAGUAGUAGUUUCCUUAGGUUAUAAAUAUACUAGAUGUUCUACACAUCUUCCUCCAGUCCUUUUUCCAUCCUUCCAGUUUUAAAAAUCACGGUUAGACAUAUGAGAGACCCACAUGGACUCCACAGAUCUAAUAAUGAUUUUCAAAAGUAGAAUGAUGAGAGAAAGACCGAAGAAAAUGAAGCAUUUCUCAAAUUAGUUAUACAUUCCAGUAGUUGAAGUUGUUUUGUUUUACCAAUUGUUUGCUCAGAAAACAAACAGAGGGAAAUGGGUUUUCCAUUUUUUAUUUUUAUUUGUGUUGUAGUUGUUGGUUAAUUGGUUGCUUUGUUUAAUUGCAUGCCACUUUGGGUUGUCUGAGUUUGCUUUGCGUUUGUUAAAUUGUGUCUCUAUUGAUUGAUCAAUUUGCAAAGCUGACGAAAUUUGCGAGUUUGAGCAGCGGUUGAUAUGUAGGCAGAAAGGUACGAGGGUUGAACUUCAAUUCUGGGUUAAUAUGGGAACCAUGUUCUUUUUUUUGUAUGGAGGUGGUGUUGUGGGUUGAAAUUCAAUUGGUUCUUUCUGGCUGCUUGAUGAGAUGAUGAAUGCUACACAAAUGUCCAGUUCUACAGUUUUUGAUGUGUCUUUCAAAAUCAUCAUUUGAUCCAAACUCUAAU